UACGUAGGGUGCAAGCGUUGUCCGGAAUUAUUGGGCGUAAAGAGCGUGUAGGCGGCCCGAUUAGUCCGCUGUGAAAGUCCAGGGCUCAACCCUGGAAUGCCGGUGGAUACUGUCAGGCUAGAGUCCGGAAGGGGCGAGUGGAAUUCCUGGUGUAGCGGUGAAAUGCGCAGAUAUCAGGAGGAACACCAAUGGCGAAGGCAGCUCGCUGGGACGUGACUGACGCUGAGACGCGAAAGCGUGGGGAGCAAACAGG
rnacentral:rRNA from 1 species